ensembl:lncRNA
UUGGACUUAAAAAAUGACCUAAUGGCACUUUUUCAGCCCAUCUUGCUUUAGAGCUAAUGCCAAGGCAAAUUUAGUUUGUGCAAACUUCCUAGCUCUUCUAAAACUUUCCACUCUCCAAUAAAUGAUCUUCUUGACUCUACUCUGGCGAAUUUUGAAACGUGGAGCAGAUCUCACCAUUUGAACACCCUCUACUAGAGAGGAGAAGACCACUGUUAUGGGCUGAAUUGUGUCCCCCCCAAAUUCCUGACUGUCUUUGGAGAUAGGGCCUUUAAAGAGACUAUUAAAGUAGAAUGAGAUCAUAUGGGCGGGCCGAAUCCAAUAUGACUGGUGUCCUUAUAGGAAGAGGAGAUUGGGACACAGACACAGAGGGAAGACCAUGUGAAGACACAGGGAGAAGACAAUCAUCCGCGAGCCAAGGAGAGACGCCUUCAGAAGACAGCAACUCUGCUGACACCUUGACUUUGGACUUCUAGUGUCCAGAAUUCUGAGAAAAUAAAUUUCUAUUGUUUAAGCCACCCAGUCUGUGGUACUUUGUUAUGGCAGCCCUGGCUGCCGCACAAGUACUUUCUUGUGAAAGUCAUUUGCAUCCUUCACACAUCAGAAUAUGGCUCCUUACAGCAAUGGCUGCAGCUGCAGAAGCAUCAACAGUCGGCCUCAGCUACCGCUCCAGUGGAGAGGACAGAUCAUCCCUUCAGGUUGAAUAAGUGCCCUCUCUGAAGUCAACACAGUUCUCUCUGGAGAAGUGAUCAGAGCAAAACAUCCUCCUGGACAGUGUGCGUUUAAUGAAAGCAGAGACAGUGUGAAAGAAACUAAAGGAAAAUUGGUGUGCUGGUAGAAAGUAAAAAUGGAUUUUGGAGAGCCAAUAAGUUAAAAGCCAUUUAAUGCAAUGUUGUGGUUGGUUUUUUGUUUUGUUUGUUUUUUUUGAGGAAGAUUAGCCCUGAGCUAACAUCUGCUGCCAAUCAUCCUCUUUUUGCUGGGAAGACUGGCCCUGAGCUAACAUCCGUGCCCAUCUUCCUCUACCUUAUAUGUAGGACGCCUGCCACAGCAUGGCUUUUGCCAAGCAGUGCCAUGUCCACACUCAGGAUCUGAACUGGCGAACCCAGGGCUGCCGAGAAGUGGAAUGUGCGCACUUAACCGCUGUGCUACUGGGCUGGUCCCUGUUUUUUUUAAUUUACCAAAUUAUCAUUAGAUUCUUUCAAAUUUACCAAACUGUUAUCAAGCAUCAAAGGGCAUUGCUUCCACAUAUGAGCGAAAUCUUAUAGUAUUUGGUUUUCAAAAACCACCACCACAACAAACAAACAAACACACAGACACAGAGAAUAGAUUGGUGGUUACCAGAGAGGAAUGAGGGAGGGGGAGGGCCAAAGGAGUCAAGGGUACAUGUGUAUGGUGACAGAUGGUGAUGAGACUUUGGGGUGAACAUGCUAUAGUCUACACAAAUCAAAAUAUAAGGAUGUACCUCUGAAAUUUACAUGAUGAUAUAAACUAAUGGUACCUCAAGGAAAAAAAAAAGAGCAUUUUCUUGUCUCUAACAUGCAAAAUCUAGCCAUACUCCUUUGUACUGCUAAUUCUUAAGGUUCACAAUUUUCCCCCACUUAAUCUCCUUACUCUCCUCAGACUACAUUUUCUUUUUAAAAGAUCAUUUGAUAAGGAAUCGAAACAAGAUAGGGGAAAGCGUCUUAGUAUUGCACUGGACAAACACACUGAUUGGGUGGAGCUGGCGGAUUACGUCCAUACAUCAUUUUUGUGAUUAUCUUGAAAGGAGUUCUUGAAUCAGAGAAAGGAAUUUGCCGAACUGCAAGGAUCUGAAGAGCAGUACAGACUAAGCGAAGGAGAAAAGAAUGAGGAGCAGGAAGAGGAGAAAAGAAAGACCACCAUGUAUGCAGAGUGCCCAAAGAGAGCCAUUCCUGUGCUUUUUCUGCAACAGCAUCUUCCUUGGGAAACAGCUGAAUGUGGCUACUGCUUCCACUUGGAAAAUUAGAGUACAGCAACCAUGCUAUUAGAAAUCUUGUGCUCUUUGAUGUUGGCGUUUGGUAUUUUUGGCUAAAAAUUAAGCUGAGAUCGUUUAAACAUGUCUGACACAUGGACUGGGCCUGUAUCUUAGUGAGUUUUCUUUGUUUUGUCAGUCUACCCAUUAUUUCAUCUCCUUUAAUCAAACAUUUUAUUGUACUUUUGCAAUAUUAUCAGGCGAGACGGUGAGUGUCAAUAUCAGUAAGAUUACCUGUGCUGUGAUGUUUCUGAAACAUCUGGUGUCUAGGUCAGGCUUUUCUCAGCUUUUUACUUUGUUUUUGGUGCACUUAGGAUCUUUUCUAACACAUGGACACUCCUAUUCAGCCAUCUCUUCUUCAAGCUAUUCUUCUUCAUAUAAUUUUUCCUUAAAGUCCAAUUUUUAUAAAUGAUUAAUUCUUAUUGUUUUCUUCAGGACCACUCAAAGAUAACUUCCCUUAUCUCCUUCAAUUUUUACUUGAAAAUAAAAUAUUACUCUAGACAAAGAAAUUUUUGACUUAAAUUCUCCCACUACCCAGGCCACCAGAUUUUAUAAUACGCAAGUAGUUGGAGACUAUUCAAAGUCCAGUCAGGUGCUUACCUUUCUAUCCUGACUCUUUAUCUGCAAAUCUCUUUCUGUCUUUCUUGUUUUCUUUACCCUAUUUUCCUCACUAUCAAAUAUUUUUAUCACCCUUAAAUACAGUUCACUGGAUUAGGCUUGCAUUUAAGAAAAGUUAUGCUGUCUAUUCUUUUCUAUAACAAUACCAUAUUUAAAAAUUUCCUGUGAUAUGGG